rfam:Salmo salar isolate Sally breed double haploid chromosome ssa16, whole genome shotgun sequence.
AAUGCACCAACUUGUAAGUCGCUCUGGAUAAGAGCGUCUGCUAAAUGACUUAAA